rnacentral:rRNA from 1 species
CAGCCGCCACGGGAAUACGGAGGGUGCAAGCGUUAAUCGGAAUUACUGGGCGUAAAGCGCACGCAGGCGGUCUGACAAGUCAGAUGUGAAAUCCCCGGGCUUAACCUGGGAACUGCAUUUGAAACUGUCAGGCUGGAGUCUUGUAGAGGGGGGUGGAAUUCCAGGUGUAGCGGUGAAAUGCGUAAAGAUCUGGAGGAAUACCGGUGGCGAAGGCGGCCCCCUGGACAAAGACUGACGCUCAGGUGCGAAAGCGUGGGGAGCAAACAGGAUUAGAUACCCCGGUAGUCCCUGUCUCUUAUAC